rnacentral:misc_RNA from 1 species
UCCGCGGGUACAUACACACAAGUAACUGAAAUACAGGUAACAGAACCAGUGCUUACAGAAAUACGGGAAGCUGAAACGCGGGAAGAUGAAGUAGGUGCAGCAGAAAUCUGGUUAUAUAGCAAUUAUUAAGUGGCUGAAAUUCGGCUAAUAGGAGUAUUCUGCAGAGAAACACGUGUUAAGCAAACUGGUGAAACAAAAAAUGAUAGAUAUUCAAUAAUUCAUGUCAACGGACAUAAAAAUAGUUAAAAUAUUGCCCAAAGUUUCGUAAAAUCUCAUUCUUUUACACAAUGACUGUUCUGUCAAAGGGACGUAACUCCACGAUUCAGUAGGUAUUUCAGCCUUCCAUAACUGUGGUUUCAGGAACAGGUUGUUUACCAUGUCGUUCGUUGCAGCCAGAGGCCUGUCACUUCUUUCCAAAUCGGUGGCGCGAUCUUGCACCAGGACACUCAAAUCGUCCCCACCGAUACAGGCCUGGAAAGUUGGCAAGGUGAACCACAUCGCCAUAGCAGUGCCUGAUCUGGAGAAAGCCACCAGUCUGUACCGAGAUGUACUGGGAGCCAGAGUCAGUGACCAGCAGCCACUGCCAGACCAUGGCGUCAACACAGUGUUUGUGGAACUUGGGGAUACAAAGAUAGAGUUGCUGAACCCACUGGGAGACAAGAGCCCAAUACAGAACUUCCUUGACAAGAACAAGGCUGGAGGGAUGCACCACAUCUGUAUAGAGGUUGAUAAUAUUAAAGAAGCAAUGAAGGACUUGAAGUCAAGAAAUAUUCGCUGUUUGACAGAAGAUGCCAAAAUUGGAGCUCAUGGAAAGCUUGUCGUAUUCCUACACCCAAAAGACUGCAAUGGAGUUCUUUUGGAACUGGAGGAAGCAUAGCCAAGAAGGAGAAGGGGUUGGUGGGAGGGACCAAGAGGUACUGGUCGUGUUCCUGAGAUUAGGGAUGAGAUGGGUUGGUGGACAGGGGUUAAGAGGUGAGAGGAAAUGGGUUUUGGGAGGGUGGUCUUUUCUGGAAUGGAUGGGGAGAUGGGUUUGGUGGAUGGGGUAACUGAGAUUAGGGAUGAGCUGGGUUGCAGGGCUAAGAUAAGAGGAGAGUUUGCCUUCUUGGAAGGUGGUAAGGGGGAUUUGGGCUGGUGGAGGAGGGAGUGUGGUUUGUUGUGGGGGAUAAGAGAGGGGAAUAGUUGCGUGUGACUGUGGUAGAGCUGAAAGCAUUGAUAUUAGUAUUAGUAAGUUCUAUGGCCAAAAUGGCUUUAUGUGAGCCCUUAUAACACACUGUGAUAGGUGUACGUAUGUAACUGUCCUGCUGUUGAAAAUAUAUGUAUGUACAUGUG